AAAAAAGCCAAAACAGCUUCCGAACUCCCAACAAAGAAGUAGACCAAACAACAAUGGUGGCUUCACCGACGUCGUUUCCAUCAGCUGUGAGGGUUGUUCGUGCUCUGCAGCCAAUUUCCUUGGACGGUGGUAGCCGGCAGAUCUUUAGAUCCAAACCCACAUCCUUGACGACGGCAGCAAACCCGUCGUUGCGUAUGAAGAAGCCAACCCAUCAUGAAUUCACCACAACAUUCCUAAUUCCCUGUUCCACACGCCGUAUAAUACCCUCCCCAAGGUAAUUGCUCAUAGUAUUGAAUUGGCUAAAGAAAAACAGCAGCACGUCGUGGAGAAUGAGCAUCUGAUGAGGGCCAUCUUGAGUUGUCAUGCUGGUCUUGCGGACCUAUUUCUGAAGCACUCUUAUGCUGGUCCAUUGGAAAUUUACGUAGCUGGGGUCCACGACACUACCCCUAUGAUAGAGGCCACCAAUGAAUUCAUCCAAUCCCAACCAUCUUCAUCAUCCAAGGAUGCUGUUGUGAGGCAAGGACCUUAUUUGGAAAGUCUAAUCCAACGGGCUAUUGAACUCAAGAACGAGUGCGGUGAUAAACUUGUAUUUAUUGAACAAUUGGUUUGUGCUUUCGCACAAGAUGAAAGGUUUGGCAAGCAGUUGAUGGAGGAUUUUCAGAUAUCCCACCAAUUUUUGCAUGAUAGUGUAUUAGUGCUCUACAUCCCAAAACUAGUGUAGCAUCAUUCAUGAAUUCAGUGGCACCCGAAUGUGAUAUGUCACAUUUUUUAACCACUUCAAUACCACCCCUAUAUCACACAAUUGAUGAGGAAAAGCUCGAGGCUUCCUUGAACAAGGAAUAUCCUCGUGGUAGUGUAGCCCCUGUAUACUAUCAGUUAAUCAAACAGAAGAUUGAACAGGGUGAAGCAGAGUACGUGCUAUCUUAAUUUGGAUGUCGGAGAUAUUUAUUAUGAAAAUUUUUAGGCUAUUUAGUUUCCUAGUUUAAUUUAAUUUUUUUUUUUCCUUUCAAUCGGUUGUUUUUUAUAUGAUGACUUUAUAACGCAGGAUUUACUGGAUUAGUGUAAUAGAUAGUUUAUCACUCUUAACUUUUUUUAUGUUUGUUUUUAUUUUUUUAUAAAUAGGCAACAAAAUUUUAUCAA